rnacentral:rRNA from 1 species
CCUACGGGUGGCAGCAGUGAGGAAUAUUGGUCAAUGGCCGGAAGGCUGAACCAGCCAAGCCGCGUGAAGGACGAAGGUGCCAAGCAUUGUAAACUUCUUUUGUCAAGGGACAAAAUCAGGCUCGAGAGCCUGACCGAGGGUACUUGAAGAAAAAGCAUCGGCUAACUCCGUGCCAGCAGCCGCGGUAAUACGGAGGAUGCGAGCGUUAUCCGGAUUUAUUGGGUUUAAAGGGUGCGUAGGCGGGCCUUCAGGCCUGCGGUAAAAUUGCGGGGCUCAACCCCGCCGAGCGGUCGGAACCGGGGGCCUUGAGUACCGGAGAAGUACGCGGAAUGCGUGGUGUAGCGGUGAAAUGCAUAGAGAUCACGCAGAACCCCGAUUGCGAAGGCAGCGUACCGGCCGGUCACUGACGCUGAGGCACGAAAGCGCGGGUAUCGAACAGGAUUAGAUACCCUGGUAGUC